GGAGAGUUGUCAGAGCGGCCGAAUGAGGCGGUCUUGAAAACCGUUAUACGGUGAUCCCGUAUCGGGGGUUCGAAUCCCCCACUCUCCGC
rnacentral:tRNA from 1 species